GACGAACGCUGGCGGCGUGCUUAACACAUGCAAGUCGAACGGUGAACCUCUUCGGAGGGGAUCAGUGGCGAACGGGUGAGUAACACGUGGGCAACCUGCCCCCGGCUCUGGGAUAACUCCAAGAAAUUGGGGCUAAUACCGGAUGUUCACCGCUUCCCGCAUGGGUGGUGGUGGAAAGGGUUUCCGGCUGGGGCUGGGCCCGCGGCCUAUCAGCUUGUUGGUGGGGUAGUGGCCUACCAAGGCGACGACGGGUAGCCGGCCUGGGGGGGUGACCGGCCACAAGGGGAAGGAGAAACGGCCCAGAAUCCGAGGGGAGGCAGCGGGGGGGAAAAUGGGGCAAGGGGGGGAAGCCGGACGCAGGGACGCCGGGGGGGGAAGGACGGCUUUGGGGUUGAAAACCUUUUUAAGCGGGAACGAAGGGAAAGGGAGGGUACCGGCAAAAGAAGCACGGGACAAAUAAGG
rnacentral:rRNA from 1 species